UAACUGACGUCGGAGCCCCAGCAACUGCUCCAGUCUCUGCUUCCAUGGGAUUGUAACUUUGGGCAGCAGUUGGGAAACCAAGAGAUACCAUCCCAGUAGGAUUCCCAAAAUGUUCCUGAAAUGGGGUCACUUCUGACCCUGUUGGGAUAGAUGUUUCCAAUUCCAAAUAAGAGCACUUAGGGUACAGCAAGUUAGUUAAAGAGGCACCUUCACAAGUGGCAUCUCUGGAAGAAGCUGCUUGGAGUCAAAAAUUGCAGAUGCGUGCUCAAGAUGAAGGCAAGCAGGAGGAUUCUUCCAAUCUGUUGCCUCAAUGUGAUUUGCCACAUUUUCUUCUUGACACUUACUAGGCUGACUGGAAAUACCAACAAUGUUGACAUCUCCAGGUUCUGUGGGCACAGAGGAACAUGCAUCCUUUAAAACAGGAAUAUCUAACUUGUUUGGCAUACCAACUCUGGAAACAAAGUAUGAUUCCACCCAUGUCAAACUCCAUGGCACAGUUGAAGCUGAGAAUGGGAAACCUGUCAUCAAUCCAUCUCUCAGGAGCAAGAUCCUGCCAAUAUCAAAUGGAGUGAUACUGGUGCUGAAUAUGUUGUGGAGUCCACUAGCAUCUUCACUACCAUGGAGAAGGCUGAAAUGCUCUUGAAGGGUAGAGCGAAGAGGGUCAUCAUCUCUGUGCCUUCUGCUCAUUGCAUGUUUGUGAUGAGUAUGAACUCUGAGAAGUAUAACUCCCCGCUCAAGACGGUCAGCAACACUUCCUAUACCACUAGCUGCUUCUCUGGCCAUUGUCCUCCAUGACAACUUUGGCUUUGUGGAGGGACUCAUGAUCACAGUCCAUGCCAUCAAUCCCACCCAGAAGACCGCGAUGGCCCUUCUGUGAAGCUGUGGUGUUUUGGCCAAAGGGCAGCCCAGAACAUCAUCUCUGCCUCUACCAGUGUUGCCAAGGUUGUGGGUAAGGUCAUCUCUGAGCUUAAUGGGAAGCUCACCAGCGUAUCAUUCCAUGUCCUCACCCUCAACAUGUCAGUUGUUGAUCUGACCUGAUACCUGGUGAAAACUGCCAGAUACGAGGACAUCAAGAAGGUAGUGAAGCAGAUAGUAGAGGGUUGUCUCCUGAAACUUUAAUAAUAACCCCCACUCUUUCAUCUUUGAUCCUGGGACUGACCUCAAAUACCAUUUUGUCAAGCUCAUUUCCUGGUUAUAACAAUGAAUUUAGCUAUAGAAACCGAGUGGUGGACCUUAUUGUCCACAUAGCCUAUGAGUAACAGCCCUCUGGACUAUCAGCUCUAGUAAAAGCACAAGACAGAAGCCAUCACCUAAUGGGGAGUUCUUGCCCCACUUUAUUCCCAACAUACAGAGAUUGUUCCAACCUAGAUAUCGAUGUUUCCAUUCCAGGCCUCCAAAAGAACAGGAGGGGUUUAGCAAGCCCUACUUUGUCAUAAUGCAUCAAUAAAGAACAUUGUACCCAGACAAAAAAAUAGGGAGGGGGAGAAUAAAGUAAUAUACCUAUACAUUUCAAAUAUUUAGGUAGAUAUAUGUACAUAUUGGAUAUCUGAAAAGGUUUUAUGCAUUUUAGCCCAGCCUACCUAUCAUGUGAAGAUUAAGCCUUCAGAUACUACACAUGGCUGUACUUUUUUCUGUAUAUAUUUGAUAUACUGAUGUUUCAAAGGUCAACCAAAGACAUGUCAUUCUUCAAAGAAAAACUAAAUAACAGCCUAGAAAUACAGCCUUAGAGCAAAAUAUCUACCUCAUUUUUAGGAAAGUACGAUUAUCUACCUUUUCAGCAUUAAGAUAUAUUUCCUUUCAAAUUACAUAAUCUUCUCUCACAAUAGGGAAAGCUUUUAACUUUUCCAUGUAAAGUACAAAUCCAGCAAUUUUUAAAUUAUUAUUUUAUUAAUUUAUUUUCUCAGGGAGAGAGGGAGAGGAAAAGAGAGAAUUUUAGGCAGACCUCAGUAAACACCUUUGUAUAUCAUUAGACAUAACCUACAAGCUUUUUAAGGUUUUUGAAUACAUAUUGCUCUAAGAUAGGACCUCCACUCCUAGCAUUGUAUAGGGGGCAUCAGCUCUAUUACUCUGAGUAAUACAGAACAGCAUUUACUAUUUACUAUUGUUGUUAUCAAUUUAACUGGAGAAAGGUUAUUCCAUUUUAGUUUGACUUUCCUUGAUUGCCAGUUAUAAUAAGCCUUUUUUCCACUUAUGUAUUAGCAGUUUAUAUUAGUUGCUGCUUUUUUUAUUAAGUGUCUAAAAUGCUUAUAUCAGUUAAAGCAUUUUCUGACAUUUUUUGUAUCUAACUUUCUCACUUGCCCAUAUAACAUAUCAUUGUUUACUUUGACAUAGGGAGUUUGAAAAUUAGAAGUAAUCCAAUCUAGUGAUCUCUUUCCUAACACUUUCCAUUGCUAUCAUGCUUAGAAAGCACUUUCUCACUAACAUAAAAUA